rnacentral:rRNA from 1 species
GGUUAAGCGACUAAGCGUACACGGUGGAUGCCCUGGCAGUCAGAGGCGAUGAAGGACGUGCUAAUCUGCGAUAAGCGUCGGUAAGGUGAUAUGAACCGUUAUAACCGGCGAUUUCCGAAUGGGGAAACCCAGUGUGAUUCGUCACACUAUCAUUAACUGAAUCCAUAGGUUAAUGAGGCGAACCGGGGGAACUGAAACAUCUAAGUACCCCGAGGAAAAGAAAUCAACCGAGAUUCCCCCAGUAGCGGCGAGCGAACGGGGAGGAGCCCAGAGCCUGAAUCAGUGUGUGUGUUAGUGGAAGCGUCUGGAAAGGCGCGCGAUACAGGGUGACAGCCCCGUACACAAAAAUGCACAUGCUGUGAGCUCGAUGAGUAGGGCGGGACACGUGGUAUCCUGUCUGAAUAUGGGGGGACCAUCCUCCAAGGCUAAAUACUCCUGACUGACCGAUAGUGAACCAGUACCGUGAGGGAAAGGCGAAAAGAACCCCGGCGAGGGGAGUGAAAAAGAACCUGAAACCGUGUACGUACAAGCAGUGGGAGCCUCUUUAUGGGGUGACUGCGUACCUUUUGUAUAAUGGGUCAGCGACUUAUAUUCUGUAGCAAGGUUAACCGAAUAGGGGAGCCGAAGGGAAACCGAGUCUUAACUGGGCGUUAAGUUGCAGGGUAUAGACCCGAAACCCGGUGAUCUAGCCAUGGGCAGGUUGAAGGUUGGGUAACACUAACUGGAGGACCGAACCGACUAAUGUUGAAAAAUUAGCGGAUGACUUGUGGCUGGGGGUGAAAGGCCAAUCAAACCGGGAGAUAGCUGGUUCUCCCCGAAAGCUAUUUAGGUAGCGCCUCGUGAAUUCAUCUCCGGGGGUAGAGCACUGUUUCGGCAAGGGGGUCAUCCCGACUUACCAACCCGAUGCAAACUGCGAAUACCGGAGAAUGUUAUCACGGGAGACACACGGCGGGUGCUAACGUCCGUCGUGAAGAGGGAAACAACCCAGACCGCCAGCUAAGGUCCCAAAGUCAUGGUUAAGUGGGAAACGAUGUGGGAAGGCCCAGACAGCCAGGAUGUUGGCUUAGAAGCAGCCAUCAUUUAAAGAAAGCGUAAUAGCUCACUGGUCGAGUCGGCCUGCGCGGAAGAUGUAACGGGGCUAAACCAUGCACCGAAGCUGCGGCAGCGACACUAUGUGUUGUUGGGUAGGGGAGCGUUCUGUAAGCCUGUGAAGGUGUACUGUGAGGUAUGCUGGAGGUAUCAGAAGUGCGAAUGCUGACAUAAGUAACGAUAAAGCGGGUGAAAAGCCCGCUCGCCGGAAGACCAAGGGUUCCUGUCCAACGUUAAUCGGGGCAGGGUGAGUCGACCCCUAAGGCGAGGCCGAAAGGCGUAGUCGAUGGGAAACAGGUUAAUAUUCCUGUACUUGGUGUUACUGCGAAGGGGGGACGGAGAAGGCUAUGUUGGCCGGGCGACGGUUGUCCCGGUUUAAGCGUGUAGGCUGGUUUUCCAGGCAAAUCCGGAAAAUCAAGGCUGAGGCGUGAUGACGAGGCACUACGGUGCUGAAGCAACAAAUGCCCUGCUUCCAGGAAAAGCCUCUAAGCAUCAGGUAACAUCAAAUCGUACCCCAAACCGACACAGGUGGUCAGGUAGAGAAUACCAAGGCGCUUGAGAGAACUCGGGUGAAGGAACUAGGCAAAAUGGUGCCGUAACUUCGGGAGAAGGCACGCUGAUAUGUAGGUGAAGUCCCUUGCGGAUGGAGCUGAAAUCAGUCGAAGAUACCAGCUGGCUGCAACUGUUUAUUAAAAACACAGCACUGUGCAAACACGAAAGUGGACGUAUACGGUGUGACGCCUGCCCGGUGCCGGAAGGUUAAUUGAUGGGGUUAGCGGUAACGCGAAGCUCUUGAUCGAAGCCCCGGUAAACGGCGGCCGUAACUAUAACGGUCCUAAGGUAGCGAAAUUCCUUGUCGGGUAAGUUCCGACCUGCACGAAUGGCGUAAUGAUGGCCAGGCUGUCUCCACCCGAGACUCAGUGAAAUUGAACUCGCUGUGAAGAUGCAGUGUACCCGCGGCAAGACGGAAAGACCCCGUGAACCUUUACUAUAGCUUGACACUGAACAUUGAGCCUUGAUGUGUAGGAUAGGUGGGAGGCUUUGAAGUGUGGACGCCAGUCUGCAUGGAGCCGACCUUGAAAUACCACCCUUUAAUGUUUGAUGUUCUAACGUUGGCCCCUGAUCGGGGUUGCGGACAGUGUCUGGUGGGUAGUUUGACUGGGGCGGUCUCCUCCUAAAGAGUAACGGAGGAGCACGAAGGUUGGCUAAUCCUGGUCGGACAUCAGGAGGUUAGUGCAAUGGCAUAAGCCAGCUUGACUGCGAGCGUGACGGCGCGAGCAGGUGCGAAAGCAGGUCAUAGUGAUCCGGUGGUUCUGAAUGGAAGGGCCAUCGCUCAACGGAUAAAAGGUACUCCGGGGAUAACAGGCUGAUACCGCCCAAGAGUUCAUAUCGACGGCGGUGUUUGGCACCUCGAUGUCGGCUCAUCACAUCCUGGGGCUGAAGUAGGUCCCAAGGGUAUGGCUGUUCGCCAUUUAAAGUGGUACGCGAGCUGGGUUUAGAACGUCGUGAGACAGUUCGGUCCCUAUCUGCCGUGGGCGCUGGAGAACUGAGGGGGGCUGCUCCUAGUACGAGAGGACCGGAGUGGACGCAUCACUGGUGUUCGGGUUGUCAUGCCAAUGGCACUGCCCGGUAGCUAAAUGCGGAAGAGAUAAGUGCUGAAAGCAUCUAAGCACGAAACUUGCCCCGAGAUGAGUUCUCCCUGACUCCUUGAGAGUCCUGAAGGAACGUUGAAGACGACGACGUUGAUAGGCCGGGUGUGUAAGCGCAGCGAUGCGUUGAGCUAACCGGUACUAAUGAACCGUGAGGCUUAACCUU